CGUAGUGUUUGUUAUUUUGUCUCAAAUCAAAAUAUUAUCCGUGCUUUUAAGUCGCAGUCGCACACAUUCCAGCCUUCACUCGCUGUUCUGCUAACACCUAGAAAAAUAUACCCAGCUGGUCGCCGUCUGAUAUCUUAAUAGCAGAACCGCCGCAGAAAAAAAGGCAAAGCUUCAGCAGUGGAAGAAUGAAAAGAAUGCACUGCGGGCAUCGUGCAGGCUGACAGGUGUUCCCUCCCUGUGUGCUUCUUUGGCCUUGAUGAAGCUAUGGAGACGGUUACCAUGACAGACGAGUGACAGACAGACCCACCCAUGUACGGACCCAAACAGAGCCAGACCCAAAAGAGCCUGAGCAAAAAGAGCCAGACCCAAAAGAGCCUGAGCAAAAAACUCCCCGUGGACACAGGUGGAAUCACAGGUGGAUGUGGAGGACAUCUGAUCUAGAUGUGGGAGAUAGGCCGUGCUCGCUGGGAUUGGUCUGGAGUUGACAGAGUCGACAACAGACAUCAUCAUCCAGACAGGAUGAAGUGCAGCGGAAGACAACAUAUAUUGUUUUGGCUGAGAAUGACCUCUUGACAUCCUGACUGUGUAUAACGCUGGAGUUGGAGACAGGUGUGAGUGUGAGGUAAUGAGGUGUGAUUGUGUCGUGUUGUGAGUGUGUUAAUUGUAUGGGACACAGUCGUAGAAAUCGUAGAAAAGUUGUGUACAUUUAGAAUCACAUUUUCUGGAAAAGCCCUGGAAAAGUCCUGAAAACCAGUUCAAUUCAUUGAACUUUUUUCCCCCAUUCAU